rfam:Parcubacteria bacterium GW2011_GWA1_47_10 TX71_C0006, whole genome shotgun sequence.
ACCUGCACUCAGAUAGCUACUCCCGAGCCUUGUGCCCGGGGGAGGAAAGUCCGAACACACAUUUCCCUUGCGGGGAAUAAACGUAGCGGGUAACGCCCGCCGUCCGUGAGGACGAGGUGCGAACAGAGAUGCCUCCGACGAAAGGCAGGAGGCAUCUCCCGUUAAAUCGGGAGAUGAGUCCUUUAGGCAACUAAAGGGGUGAAACAGCUAAAUCCUUACGCGUGUGCAAGAUCGUGCCCUGCCGCAAGGCAGGGAGAAUCGCUUGAGCUCUGGAGCAAUCCAGAGCCUAGAUAAAUUGCUAUCACCAUCAGUCGGUCCGCCGACUGGCGGAACAGAAUUCGGCUUAUAGGGGGCAGGACCCA